rnacentral:rRNA from 4 species
UCCGUAGGUGAACCUGCGGAGGGAUCAUUACACAAAUAUGAAGGCGGGCUGGAACCUCUCGGGGUUACAGCCUUGCUGAAUUAUUCACCCUUGUCUUUUGCGUACUUCUUGUUUCCUUGGUGGGUUCGCCCACCACUAGGACAAACAUAAACCUUUUGUAAUUGCAAUCAGCGUCAGUAACAAAUUAAUAAUUACAACUUUCAACAACGGAUCUCUUGGUUCUGGCAUCGAUGAAGAACGCAGCGAAAUGCGAUAAGUAGUGUGAAUUGCAGAAUUCAGUGAAUCAUCGAAUCUUUGAACGCACAUUGCGCCCUUUGGUAUUCCAAAGGGCAUGCCUGUUCGAGCGUCAUUUGUACCCUCAAGCUUUGCUUGGUGUUGGGCGUCUUGUCUCUAGCUUUGCUGGAGACUCGCCUUAAAGUAAUUGGCAGCCGGCCUACUGGUUUCGGAGCGCAGCACAAGUCGCACUCUCUAUCAGCAAAGGUCUAGCAUCCAUUAAGCCUUUUUUUCAACUUUUGACCUCGGAUCAGGUAGGGAUACCCGCUGAACUUAAGCAUAUCAAUAAGCGGAGGAA